UACGUAGGGGGCAAGCGUUGUCCGGAAUCAUUGGGCGUAAAGCGCGUGUAGGCGGCCAGGUAAGUCCGUUCUGAAAGCCCGGGGCUCAACCCCGGGAGGCGGAUGGAUACUGCUUGGCUCGAGUCCGGAAGAGGCGAGUGGAAUUCCCAGUGUAGCGGUGAAAUGCGCAGAUAUCGGGAGGAACACCAAUGGCGAAGGCAGCUCGCUGGGACGGUACUGACGCUGAGGAGCGAAAGCGUGGGGAGCGAACAGG
rnacentral:rRNA from 1 species